GGAACAGACUAAGUACUCUAUUCUGAUUCUGAUGGUCUUAUUAUGGACUCCACAAUUCCUGUAUCAGGAUUCAGGAGAGAGAUGGAAAAUGAAGUCUUCUAAAGGAACAGCACAAAGUCCUUUGCAUCUUUGGGUCUCCCUCUCUUCCUUGCGGUUCUACACAAUUCCUUGGUCUUCCAUCAACUACAUGCUUCUGGCAUUUGCCUCGUCUGCUCGUCAGACGUCUGAUGACUGCAAGGAUAUUCAUAUGGACGCAAGGCGGGGGUCACUCUCAUUGCGUUACCACCAAUACAAUCAUAUGGAAAAAAAAAGUCACUACAAAUGAAUAUUUUUUCUUGUACUAUUUUGAUUCCCUAUAAAUCCAACAUAUAGCCUCCCUGUACAUUUUUCUUCCCUUGUUAAUUUCACUUUGACCUUUUUCUUUCAACGUUAAUCAACAACAAAUAUCAUUGUUGUGGUAAAAUUUUUAUCUCAAAGUAUUUUUUUAUGUUGACUUCAUGUCAGAAAAACCAAAAAAGGGAACCUUUUAGAGAGACCUUAUUCAUUGAUUGCUUUUUUGGAGUAAAGAUAUUUUUGGGGUUCAUCCAAUAAUGUGACUUAGCAUGCAUUUCAGGCAAACCUACUCUCAAAAAAGCAUGUAGGGGGUUGGUUUGACUAAUAAUGUAUUGCUCACCAGUAUUUCCCAUUUUUAGAAGCAUUCAUAAAAGAGGCUCACGAUGUACAAUCUGAGGCUCCAACCGAAAGAAAAGUCGAAAAAAACAAUCAACUAAUAAAAAUGCAACAAAAAUACUUAUGUUGUUCCAGAACUCCGAAUUAUAUUGGCAGGUCAAUGCAAUUUCAAAAUUAGGUAACUAGUGUCUACUGAAGGGGGAGCAAUCAAGAAGAGAAUACCUAAACCAAGCCUGGAAUGUUGGUCAUUCUCCCUUUUUCUUUAGAAACCAUAUAUGGCA
rnacentral:lncRNA from 1 species